rnacentral:rRNA from 1 species
GGGUCCGGACACACUGAGGAUUGACAGAUAUACGCUCAUUGCUGCGUGCUUCGGCGCGUGCUUUGAGCUGAAAGAUGCUAGUUCUUUCAUGAUUAUGUGAUAGGUGGUGCAUGGCCGUUCUUAGUUCGUGGAGUGAUCUGUCUGCUUAAUUGCGUAUCAAUAAUAGAGACCUAGUAUACGCGUGGAUUUCGCGUGGUAGUGACCCCCUGUUUAACGACAGGCGUGUGUCGCACACGCGUACCUACGCACUGGUCUCAGAUAGCAACGAACGUGACCGUAUUCUAUUGUUGCAGUGAAAUGUGCCUUCUGGGUACGACCCACUGCUUAGUAUAUGUACGUGCUUCGGCGCGAACAAUAUACAUUAAACUAUAGAGACCGCCGUUUCUUCUUUAAACCAGAGGAAGGAUACGGCAAUAACAGGUCUGUGAUGCCCUCAGAUGUUCCGGGCUGCACACGUGCUACAAUGAUCAUUGCACUGUGCAUCUAACCCAAUGUGCGUGGACGCCGCAUGCAUGUGCCUUCGGGUACACGCAUUGCUGUUGCGACCACGCCGAACCUACUUCGAAAGUAAAAUUUCUCAGUGGGU